UUUGGGAGAAGCAUAGUUGUUCUUAGGACGCUGUUUUCAGCACAGCCAAAGACGGCAUGGAUGCCGGCUUAGAAGCAAUGCAUACAAGGAGGUAUGCUUUGCUUCGGUGGCGGAAGUAUAGGAGAUAUAUCCACAGGGUCCUUAGAACACCUUGCUUCGUACAAC
rfam:Firmicutes bacterium CAG:882 genomic scaffold, scf174